GAUCCUGGCUCAGGAUGAACGCUGGCGGCGUGCUUAACACAUGCAAGUCGAGCGAAGCAAUCUAAGUGAAGUUUUCGGAUGGAUCUUAGAUUGACUGAGCGGCGGACGGGUGAGUAACGCGUGGAUAACCUGCUUCACACAGGGGGGAUAACAGUUAGAAAUGACUGCUAAUACCGCAUAAGCGCACAGUACCGCAUGGUACAGUGUGAAAAACUCCGGU
rnacentral:rRNA from 1 species